rnacentral:rRNA from 1 species
CCUACGGGCGGCAGCAGUGGGGGAUAUUGUACAAUGGGGGGAACCCUGAUGCAGCGACGCCGCGUGUGGGAAGACGGUCCUCUGGAUUGUAACCCACUGUCCCCAGGGACGAAAAUGACGGUACCUGGGGAGGAAGCUCCGGCUAACUACGUGCCAGAAGCCGCGGUAAUCGGUAGGGAGCGAGCGUUGUCCGGAAUUACUGGGUGUAAAGGGGGCGUAGGCGGGGAUGCAAGUUGGGGGUCAAAACUACCGGCUCAACUGGUAGUCGCACUCAAAACUGCAGCGCUUGAGUGAAGUAGAGGCAGGCGGAAUUCCUAGUGUAGCGGUGAAAUGCGUAGAUAUUAGGAGGAACACCAGUGGCGAAGGCGGCCUGCUGGGCUUUUACUGACGCUGAGGCUCGAAAGUGUGGGGAGCAAACAGGAUUAGAUACCCCUGUAGUC